GUGCUAGUUCUGGCAGCACAUAUGAAAAAUUGGAUUAUGAUACAGAGAAGAUUAGCAUGGCCCCUGCCCCAAGCAUGACACGCAAAUUCAUAAAGCAGAUCCAAAUUUU